rnacentral:rRNA from 1 species
UUAAGCGACUAAGCGUACACGGUGGAUGCCCUGGCAGUCAGAGGCGAUGAAGGACGUGCUAAUCUGCGAUAAGCGUCGGUAAGGUGAUAUGAACCGUUAUAACCGGCGAUUUCCGAAUGGGGAAACCCAGUGUGAUUCGUCACACUAUCAUUACGUGAAUACAUAGCGUAAUGAAGCGAACCGGGGGAACUGAAACAUCUAAGUACCCCGAGGAAAAGAAAUCAACCGAGAUUCCCCCAGUAGCGGCGAGCGAACGGGGAGGAGCCCAGAGCCUGAAUCAGCAUGUGUGUUAGUGGAAGCGUCUGGAAAGGCGCGCGAUACAGGGUGACAGCCCCGUACACAAAAGCGCAUAUGCUGUGAGCUCGAUGAGUAGGGCGGGACACGUGGUAUCCUGUCUGAAUAUGGGGGGACCAUCCUCCAAGGCUAAAUACUCCUGACUGACCGAUAGUGAACCAGUACCGUGAGGGAAAGGCGAAAAGAACCCCGGCGAGGGGAGUGAAAAAGAACCUGAAACCGUGUACGUACAAGCAGUGGGAGCCCCACCACCAAAGCAUUCUCUGGUGUUGAAGGCCCUGCAAAGCAGCAUCGCGGUGGCGGAGCGUCGUUUGCGACGCCCAACACACAAAACAAGCGGUGAGUGCUUUGGGGUGGGGUGACUGCGUACCUUUUGUAUAAUGGGUCAGCGACUUAUAUUCUGUAGCAAGGUUAACCGCAUAGGGGAGCCGGAGGGAAACCGAGUCUUAAUUGGGCGUUAAGUUGCAGGGUAUAGACCCGAAACCCGGUGAUCUAGCCAUGGGCAGGUUGAAGGUUGGGUAACACUAACUGGAGGACCGAACCGACUAAUGUUGAAAAAUUAGCGGAUGACCUGUGGCUGGGGGUGAAAGGCCAAUCAAACCGGGAGAUAGCUGGUUCUCCCCGAAAGCUAUUUAGGUAGCGCCUCGUGAAUUCAUCUCCGGGGGUAGAGCACUGUUUCGGCUAGGGGGUCAUCCAGACUUACCAACCCGAUGCAAACUGCGAAUACCGGAGAAUGUUAUCACGGGAGACACACGGCGGGUGCUAACGUCCGUCGUGAAGAGGGAAACAACCCAGACCGCCAGCUAAGGUCCCAAAGUCAUGGUUAAGUGGGAAACGAUGUGGGAAGGCCCAGACAGCCAGGAUGUUGGCUUAGAAGCAGCCAUCAUUUAAAGAAAGCGUAAUAGCUCACUGGUCGAGUCGGCCUGCGCGGAAGAUGUAACGGGGCUAAACCAUGCACCGAAGCUGCGGCAGCGAACGUAUCACUUAAAGCGAUUCAGCGGGUUACGAUUGACGGAGCGAAGCGACGUCAAAGCGUAUACAAAGUCGAGUCGGUUUAAGGAUACGUUCGUUGGGUAGGGGAGCGUUCUGUAAGCCUGUGAAGGUGGCCUGUGAGGGUUGCUGGAGGUAUCAGAAGUGCGAAUGCUGACAUAAGUAACGAUAAAGCGGGUGAAAAGCCCGCUCGCCGGAAGACCAAGGGUUCCUGUCCAACGUUAAUCGGGGCAGGGUGAGUCGACCCCUAAGGCGAGGCCGAAAGGCGUAGUCGAUGGGAAACGGGUUAAUAUUCCCGUACUUGGUGUUACUGCGAAGGGGGGACGGAGAAGGCUAUGUUGGCCGGGCGACGGUUGUCCCGGUUUAAGCGUGUAGGUGUGUGUUCCAGGUAAAUCCGGUUCACUUUAACACUGAGGCGUGACGACGAGGCACUACGGUGCUGAAGCAACAAAUGCCCUGCUUCCAGGAAAAGCCUCUAAGCAUCAGGUAACAUCAAAUCGUACCCCAAACCGACACAGGUGGUCAGGUAGAGAAUACCAAGGCGCUUGAGAGAACUCGGGUGAAGGAACUAGGCAAAAUGGUGCCGUAACUUCGGGAGAAGGCACGCUGACACGUAGGUGAAGUGAUUUACUCAUGGAGCUGAAGUCAGUCGAAGAUACCAGCUGGCUGCAACUGUUUAUUAAAAACACAGCACUGUGCAAACACGAAAGUGGACGUAUACGGUGUGACGCCUGCCCGGUGCCGGAAGGUUAAUUGAUGGGGUCAGCGCAAGCGAAGCUCCUGAUCGAAGCCCCGGUAAACGGCGGCCGUAACUAUAACGGUCCUAAGGUAGCGAAAUUCCUUGUCGGGUAAGUUCCGACCUGCACGAAUGGCGUAAUGAUGGCCAGGCUGUCUCCACCCGAGACUCAGUGAAAUUGAACUCGCUGUGAAGAUGCAGUGUACCCGCGGCAAGACGGAAAGACCCCGUGAACCUUUACUAUAGCUUGACACUGAACAUUGAGCCUUGAUGUGUAGGAUAGGUGGGAGGCUUUGAAGCGUGGACGCCAGUCUGCGUGGAGCCAACCUUGAAAUACCACCCUUUAAUGUUUGAUGUUCUAACGUGGACCCGUUACCCGGGUUGCGGACAGUGUCUGGUGGGUAGUUUGACUGGGGCGGUCUCCUCCUAAAGAGUAACGGAGGAGCACGAAGGUUGGCUAAUCCUGGUCGGACAUCAGGAGGUUAGUGCAAUGGCAUAAGCCAGCUUGACUGCGAGCGUGACGGCGCGAGCAGGUGCGAAAGCAGGUCAUAGUGAUCCGGUGGUUCUGAAUGGAAGGGCCAUCGCUCAACGGAUAAAAGGUACUCCGGGGAUAACAGGCUGAUACCGCCCAAGAGUUCAUAUCGACGGCGGUGUUUGGCACCUCGAUGUCGGCUCAUCACAUCCUGGGGCUGAAGUAGGUCCCAAGGGUAUGGCUGUUCGCCAUUUAAAGUGGUACGCGAGCUGGGUUUAGAACGUCGUGAGACAGUUCGGUCCCUAUCUGCCGUGGGCGCUGGAGAACUGAGGGGGGCUGCUCCUAGUACGAGAGGACCGGAGUGGACGCAUCACUGGUGUUCGGGUUGUCAUGCCAAUGGCACUGCCCGGUAGCUAAAUGCGGAAGAGAUAAGUGCUGAAAGCAUCUAAGCACGAAACUUGCCCCGAGAUGAGUUCUCCCUGAGACUUAGAGUCUCCUGAAGGAACGUUGAAGACGACGACGUUGAUAGGCCGGGUGUGUAAGCGCAGCGAUGCGUUGAGCUAACCGGUACUAAUGAACCGUGAGGCUUAACCUU